rnacentral:rRNA from 1 species
AUGGCCCGUACGAAGCAGACCGCCCGCAAGUCCACCGGCGGCAAGGCGCCCCGCAAGCAGCUCGCCACCAAGGCGGCGAGGAAGUCGGCGCCGACCACCGGCGGAGUGAAGAAGCCCCACCGCUACAGGCCCGGGACCGUCGCCCUCCGGGAGAUCCGCAAGUACCAGAAGAGCACGGAGCUGCUGAUCCGCAAGCUGCCGUUCCAGCGCCUGGUCCGCGAGAUCGCGCAGGACUUCAAGACCGACCUCCGCUUCCAGUCCCACGCCGUGCUGGCCCUCCAGGAGGCGGCCGAGGCGUACCUCGUCGGGCUGUUCGAGGACACCAACCUGUGCGCCAUCCACGCCAAGCGCGUCACCAUCAUGCCCAAGGACAUCCAGCUCGCCCGCCGCAUCCGUGGCGAGAGGGCCUAA